UACGUAGGGUGCAAGCGUUAAUCGGAAUUACUGGGCGUAAAGCGUGCGCAGGCGGUUGGUUAAGACAGAUGUGAAAUCCCCGGGCUCAACCUGGGAACUGCAUUUGUGACUGGCCAGCUAGAGUAUGGCAGAGGGGGGUGGAAUUCCACGUGUAGCAGUGAAAUGCGUAGGGAUGUGGAGGAACACCGAUGGCGAAGGCAGCCCCCUGGGCCAAUACUGACGCUCAUGCACGAAAGCGUGGGGAGCAAACAGG
rnacentral:rRNA from 1 species